rnacentral:rRNA from 1 species
GGAAAGGCGCGCGAUACAGGGUGACAGCCCCGUACACAAAAAUGCACAUGCUGUGAGCUCGAUGAGUAGGGCGGGACACGUGGUAUCCUGUCUGAAUAUGGGGGGACCAUCCUCCAAGGCUAAAUACUCCUGACUGACCGAUAGUGAACCAGUACCGUGAGGGAAAGGCGAAAAGAACCCCGGCGAGGGGAGUGAAAAAGAACCUGAAACCGUGUACGUACAAGCAGUGGGAGCACGCUUAGGCGUGUGACUGCGUACCUUUUGUAUAAUGGGUCAGCGACUUAUAUUCUGUAGCAAGGUUAACCGAAUAGGGGAGCCGAAGGGAAACCGAGUCUUAACUGGGCGUUAAGUUGCAGGGUAUAGACCCGAAACCCGGUGAUCUAGCCAUGGGCAGGUUGAAGGUUGGGUAACACUAACUGGAGGACCGAACCGACUAAUGUUGAAAAAUUAGCGGAUGACUUGUGGCUGGGGGUGAAAGGCCAAUCAAACCGGGAGAUAGCUGGUUCUCCCCGAAAGCUAUUUAGGUAGCGCCUCGUGAAUUCAUCUCCGGGGGUAGAGCACUGUUUCGGCAAGGGGGUCAUCCCGACUUACCAACCCGAUGCAAACUGCGAAUACCGGAGAAUGUUAUCACGGGAGACACACGGCGGGUGCUAACGUCCGUCGUGAAGAGGGAAACAACCCAGACCGCCAGCUAAGGUCCCAAAGUCAUGGUUAAGUGGGAAACGAUGUGGGAAGGCCCAGACAGCCAGGAUGUUGGCUUAGAAGCAGCCAUCAUUUAAAGAAAGCGUAAUAGCUCACUGGUCGAGUCGGCCUGCGCGGAAGAUGUAACGGGGCUAAACCAUGCACCGAAGCUGCGGCAGCGACACUAUGUGUUGUUGGGUAGGGGAGCGUUCUGUAAGCCUGUGAAGGUGUACUGUGAGGUAUGCUGGAGGUAUCAGAAGUGCGAAUGCUGACAUAAGUAACGAUAAAGCGGGUGAAAAGCCCGCUCGCCGGAAGACCAAGGGUUCCUGUCCAACGUUAAUCGGGGCAGGGUGAGUCGACCCCUAAGGCGAGGCCGAAAGGCGUAGUCGAUGGGAAACAGGUUAAUAUUCCUGUACUUGGUGUUACUGCGAAGGGGGGACGGAGAAGGCUAUGUUGGCCGGGCGACGGUUGUCCCGGUUUAAGCGUGUAGGCUGGUUUUCCAGGCAAAUCCGGAAAAUCAAGGCUGAGGCGUGAUGACGAGGCACUACGGUGCUGAAGCAACAAAUGCCCUGCUUCCAGGAAAAGCCUCUAAGCAUCAGGUAACAUCAAAUCGUACCCCAAACCGACACAGGUGGUCAGGUAGAGAAUACCAAGGCGCUUGAGAGAACUCGGGUGAAGGAACUAGGCAAAAUGGUGCCGUAACUUCGGGAGAAGGCACGCUGAUAUGUAGGUGAAGUCCCUCGCGGAUGGAGCUGAAAUCAGUCGAAGAUACCAGCUGGCUGCAACUGUUUAUUAAAAACACAGCACUGUGCAAACACGAAAGUGGACGUAUACGGUGUGACGCCUGCCCGGUGCCGGAAGGUUAAUUGAUGGGGUCAGCGCAAGCGAAGCUCUUGAUCGAAGCCCCGGUAAACGGCGGCCGUAACUAUAACGGUCCUAAGGUAGCGAAAUUCCUUGUCGGGUAAGUUCCGACCUGCACGAAUGGCGUAAUGAUGGCCAGGCUGUCUCCACCCGAGACUCAGUGAAAUUGAACUCGCUGUGAAGAUGCAGUGUACCCGCGGCAAGACGGAAAGACCCCGUGAACCUUUACUAUAGCUUGACACUGAACAUUGAGCCUUGAUGUGUAGGAUAGGUGGGAGGCUUUGAAGUGUGG